rnacentral:rRNA from 1 species
GACGAACGCUGGCGGCGUGCUUAACACAUGCAAGUCGAACGGUGAAAGUGGAGCUUGCUCCGGUGGAUUAGUGGCGAACGGGUGAGUAACACGUGAGUAACCUGCCCUUGACUCUGGGAUAACUGCGGGAAACUGUAGCUAAUACCGGAUACGACCCUCGGCGGCAUCGCCAGGGGGUGGAAAGAAUUUCGGUCAAGGAUGGACUCGCGGCCUAUCAGCUAGUUGGGGAGGUAACGGCUCACCAAGGCGACGACGGGUAGCCGGCCUGAGAGGGUGACCGGCCACACUGGGACUGAGACACGGCCCAGACUCCUACGGGAGGCAGCAGUGGGGAAUAUUGCACAAUGGGCGCAAGCCUGAUGCAGCAACGCCGCGUGAGGGAUGACGGCCUUCGGGUUGUAAACCUCUUUUAGUAGGGAAGAAGCGAAAGUGACGGUACCUGCAGAAAAAGCACCGGCUAACUACGUGCCAGCCGCCGCGGUAA